rnacentral:hammerhead_ribozyme from 1 species
AUUCAGCUGACGAGUCCUAAAUAGGACGAAAUGCGCGUCCUGGAU